AUAGGUCAUUAGUGAACGCGAUGUUAAUCAAUUCGUAUUGUAAUUUCUUAUCGAAUUCGUUUCGUUGGCAUUGUGAACACAUUAGAGAUUGGUUAUUAGCAGUAAGGAGACGUGUUCCAUUAAUUGUGGUUCAUUUGCAUUGUGAUUUUACGCAUGAAAUGACAUCAUGCCGAUUUUAUUUAAUGAAUUUAAUUCUGAUUGUGUUAAUGGUGGAAAAUAAUGGGCGUAGUUCUCAUCAACAAAUAAGAUCACAUUACGCCGCGCCUCCUCAGAUAGUGACGUACUGCUUGGACCAAGGCAUAUGCCUUCAGAGUGGAGCGUGUCCUUGGAACAGGGUCAUCAACAGUGACAUUGACUGCAUGCAGCAAAACAAUAACUUCGUCUGCUGUUACGUCACGAAGAUCAAAUAUCCGGAAAACUUGUUCGCCUAUACUGAUGACUACGUUUAAUUUGAUGCUUAGUUAUUCUUUUGACACUCGAAACUUA